UACGAAGGGUGCAAGCGUUACUCGGAAUUACUGGGCGUAAAGCGUGCGUAGGUGGUUUGUUAAGUCUGAUGUGAAAGCCCUGGGCUCAACCUGGGAAUUGCAUUGGAUACUGGCAGGCUAGAGUGCGGUAGAGGAUGGCGGAAUUCCCGGUGUAGCAGUGAAAUGCGUAGAGAUCGGGAGGAACAUCUGUGGCGAAGGCGGCUCUCUAGUACGGUACUGACGCUGAGACGCGAAAGCGUGGGGAGCGAACAGG
rnacentral:rRNA from 1 species